CGUUUAGGGGUAAACNUGAGAAACCCGAAAGGUCGAAGGGAGAAAUUCAUUCGCGGUUCGACGCUAGCGUUGUGCGGUUGGUGACGAGGAUUGCGUAGAUUCCUUUGCGCCUUCCGUUCGACGAGCUGGCGACGAACGCGUGCACUUUUCUCCCGGUAGGACGUCGCGAUUCGUCGGGUGUCGGUCUAAGGUACGUUGGCGGUGGAGACCGUUUGCGCGCUUCGUGCGCGCGAGCGAACCCGUGCGUCCCGACCGACUCGCUCGACGGUAUACUAAAGGUUCGAGGCCGCUCGUCAUUUAAGGAGCGUCCGGCUCGCGGCAAGCGCGCCAGAUGCGUCGGCGACCGGACCCGGUGCCGAUUCCGACCUCUGGUGACUGUUGGCCGCGAAGUUCUCGGACAGACCUCGCGACCGAUCGGCGACGCUAUAGCUUUGGGUACUUUCAGGACCCGUCUUGAAACACGGACCAAGGAGUCUAGCAUGUGCGCGAGUCAUUGGGAAUCGUUAAACCUAAAGGCGUAAUGAAAGUAAACCGAUCCUUUUUAGGAUCGCAGGGAAGACGGGCCGAUCGCCCUUAAAAGCGACGGCUCCGCAUUCCCGGGGCGUCUCGUUCUCAUCGCGAGAAGAGGCGCACCAAGAGCGUACACGCUGGGACCCGAAAGAUGGUGAACUAUGCCUGGUCAGGACGAAGUCAGGGGAAACCCUGAUGGAGGUCCGUAGCGAUUCUGACGUGCAAAUCGAUCGUCGGAACUGGGUAUAGGGGCGAAAGACUAAUCGAACCAUC
rnacentral:rRNA from 1 species